AAACCCGAAGAAGAAGAAGAGUUAAUUUGGCGGGCUAAACAAACUGAAGUCACUGGCAACAAACAACUUUCCCGUAUUAUUCAAUAUAUAACAAGUAAAUAAAGAAAGAGCUGUUACCGUGAUGUCGAAGCUAGCGACGUUAGCUGAAGUACACCUAACGUUAGCCGGGAUGAAUGGAGACUGAUGCUACACACACCUGGAUAAAGAGUGUGUUACUGAACUCUUGACUGAGACUCUACGCUUUGUGCCAAGACAAUGU